ensembl:lncRNA
GAGCGAUGUAGGUAUCAAGUGCCCAGUAUCUGAACCAACACUUACAGAGUUUUGUUUUGUCUUUCAGAAUGAAUGCAUUGGUACCCUUUUCUUACUCACAGCUUAUCGGCAACAGCAAGUCCACUAGACAUGUGGGGACACCAGCCAAGCCACCUGCAACUCCCGCUGCACUGGGAUCCCAAGGCCUGGACGUCUAGUUCCAAAAAUGAGCAGAGCUGGCCCAGAAGAGAGUGGGCUUAGGAAAGCUGGGCCAUGCACUGAUGCAGCCCAUCUCCCAGGGACCCUCCCACUGGCUGUGUUGCGAUGGCUGGAUUUUAAAGCUACCCUCCCUACAGAAACUCUCCAGAGGGCACCAGUGAGGGAAAAGGGACACAUUUUUCCUCAAAAGGGAGAUUGUCCACCUGGGUGGGAGCCAGGCACAAUGAAGCUUUCUCUGAUGUCCACGGUCCACCUUCUAUCUUUGUGAGAAAGUGCCAGCUCUUCAGGGAUAAGAAAAGGGAAACUACGAGAGUUAAGGACCAGCUCAAGAAGAAGGAGGAGGGCAAUGAAGGAGAUGCAGCAAGAAACAGACCUUUGCAAAAUGGUGGGUAAGAUUCUGUGCUGAAUUUCUAAGAACCAUCUUUGCACCACUCUAGCCCUGGGAGCUUGCCUUAGUUACAGUAACCUCCCCAAGCUACCGCAUGGGCUGCAAAGCUGGGGGGCAGCCUUAAAGCUGUCUUCCACAGUUCCUGUAUUGCAGAACUCCUCCCGCCUUUCUGCAACCUUUACACCACUCCUGCUUUUUUACCAAUCAGUAUAAAGGGGCCAGAGCAGGAAAGAGGAUCUCACCUAGCCACCUGAAAGCUGAUGCUACUUGACAAUAUGACUUCCGCUAAAUAUGGAAGGACAGACCCAGAAAUACAUGCUGGGAAAAUGUCUAUAUAAGAGGUCAACUAUUCACUGAAGAGAGUUGGUAGAUGCUAAGCAGCCACAAAGAUUGAUGCCUCUAUGCAUUACUGCGAUAUCACAAUUAUUUUGUAUAAGAUGUAUUAUGACGCUGCUAGAAAAGAUAUAAUACAGUGCUAACUUCCUCUCUUUGAAACAAAAAUCAAUCACAAAGGCUUGAAGUGUUUGGGUCCAUGUUAUUUUUCUAAUCACUUAACUCUAAAGUUCAGUGCUGUAUUGACUUGUAAUUGAGUCAGUGUAGCUCUUACAAAUCAUUCUCAGUCAACUGAUUUGGCUAAAAAGUGAACUAGGCAAUUGGGAGUGUUUUUAAACUUGCCAGAAUCUUUAGUCCUUCAAGUCCUUGGAGUUUUGUGUGAUUUAUUGCUUAUAGUCAAAGUUUCUCCCUCAUCAGAUUAGUGGUGAUGACUACUUGAUAUUGAUUUUUUUUCUCAUCUGCCUCAUCUGCUUUAUGGACACUUUGCAGAGGCCAAGUUAGGUGUGACAAUAACAAUUUUUUUAAUUGAGAAUAAUUUUAGAGCUCAUUCAAAUGAGCGACUGUGCACACUAGACAGCAGUAGCUAUAGUUGUACUGUACAAAUCUGGCUACAAAGCUCUGCUAAUGCAUCUUAUAUCUGACUUGUGCAAUGGGCCUAUUAUUCUAGUCUUGGAUCUCUCUGAAGCAUAGAUUGCCAAACAUCUUUAACUGUGUGGUGUGUUUGUGAUGCACAGAGAGGAGAACUAGGAUCAUCCAUUUAGCUACUUCCACUUUCAAUUUCCAGCCACACGGAUCAAAAUCUCAUUAACCUAUAGACAAUGAGUAAUGCUCAACAAAAUACUGCUGGUUUAGUAAUGAGCUUCAGUCACACCAUUUUGGGUUGGAAUAAAUCUAAACUUUUAAAGAAAAUUCA